rnacentral:rRNA from 1 species
GUUGGCGGCGGGAGAGUAACGAGUAGAUACGUACCCAGGGGUUCGGAAUAGCGGGGGAAACCGCCGGUAAUGCCGAAUAAUGUCUCCGGACCAAAAAUUUAUUGCCCUUGGAUCGGUCUGCUUACUAUUAGCUUGUUGGUGGGGUAAAGGCCUACCAAGGCAAAGAUGGUUAGCGGGUGUGAGAGCAUGGCCCGUCUCACUGGGACUGAGACACUGCCCAGACACCUACGGGUGGCUGCAGUCGAGAAUCUUCCGCAAUGGACGAAAGUCUGACGGAGCGACGCCGCGUGCGGGAUGAAGGCCUUCGGGUUGUAAACCGCUGUCAGAGGGGAGCAAAUUUUGAGCAAUCCUCAGAGGAAGCACAGGCUAAGUUCGUGCCAGCAGCCGCGGUAAUACGAACUGUGCGAACGUUAUUCGGAAUCACUGGGCUUAAAGGGUGCGUAGGCGGGUUUAAAGGUCUGAUGUGAAAGCCCACGGCUCAACCGUGGAAUUGCGUUGGAAACCAUGAACCUUGAGGAGAUCAGAGGUGAGCGGAACUCACGGUGGAGCGGUGAAAUGCGUUGAUAUCGUGAGGAACACCGGUGGCGAAAGCGGCUCACUGGGAUCUUUCUGACGCUGAGGCACGAAAGCCAGGGGAGCGAACGGGAUUAGAUACCCCGGUAGUCCUGGCUGUA